rnacentral:rRNA from 1 species
AUGCUAGGAAGGAGCAUCAAAUUAACACAAACGGCAUCAUCUGCACAGCAGAAGAGGUGGCUGCCACCUCCGAAUGGCGAGGCAAAUAUUAAUGUGGACGGAGCAGUGGCCAGGUCUCGGCGCGGAGGGGCAGCUGCAGCGAUAUGCCGGGACCAGGACGACCUAUACUUGGGUUCAUCGACGGUUAUUUUUCAGGGAAUCACUGGUUCAGUGAUGCUUGAGACUUAUGCUUGCAGGGAAGCUUUGGCAUUGGCAGAAGAUCUUGCGACAACCAAUAUAUGUGUGGCCUCGGAUUGCCAAGAAGAAAUAAAGCUUCGUUGUAAUAGUUUUAAUUCAUACUCGUUUAUUCAUGAGCGUAGGAACCACAAUUAUGAGGGUCACAAUCUCAUCAAGUUUGCUUGUAGCCUAGGACUAGGUAGACAUGUCUGGUUGGACAAUCCUCAUGACCCAAACCUUGUACCUAUGUCGCUUGUUUUUGAAUGA